AGGUAAGCUACUAAGAGCGAAUGGUGGAUGCCUUGACUGGUAAAGGCGAUGAAGGACGUACUAGACUGCGAUAAGCUACGGGGAGCUGUCAAGAAGCUUUGAUCCGUAGAUUUCCGAAUGGGGCAACCCAAUGUAUAGAGAUAUACAUUACCUAUAUAGGAGCGAACGAGGGGAAUUGAAACAUCUUAGUACCCUCAGGAAAAGAAAUCAAUAGAGAUUGCGUCAGUAGCGGCGAGCGAAAGCGCAAGAGGGCAAACCCAGUGCUUGCACUGGGGGUUGUAGGACUGCAAUGUGCAAGAGCUGAGUUUAGCAGAACAUUCUGGAAAGUAUAGCCAUAGAGGGUGAUAGUCCCGUAUGCGAAAAACAAAGCUUAGCUAGCAGUAUCCUGAGUAGGGCGGGACACGAGGAAUCCUGUCUGAAUCCGGGUCGACCACGAUCCAACCCUAAAUACUAAUACCAGAUCGAUAGUGCACAAGUACCGUGAGGGAAAGGUGAAAAGAACUGAGGUGAUCAGAGUGAAAUAGAACCUGAAACCAUUUGCUUACAAUCAUUCAGAGCACUAUGUAGCAAUACAGUGUGAUGGACUGCCUUUUGCAUAAUGAGCCUGCGAGUUGUGGUGUCUGGCAAGGUUAAGCAAACGCGAAGCCGUAGCGAAAGCGAGUCUGAAUAGGGCGCUUAGUCAGAUGCUGCAGACCCGAAACGAAGUGAUCUAUCCAUGAGCAAGUUGAAGCUAGUGUAAGAACUAGUGGAGGACUGAACCCAUAGGCGUUGAAAAGCCCCGGGAUGACUUGUGGAUAGGGGUGAAAGGCCAAUCAAACUUCGUGAUAGCUGGUUCUCUCCGAAAUAUAUUUAGGUAUAGCGUUGUGUCGUAAUAUAAGGGGGUAGAGCACUGAAUGGGCUAGGGCAUACACCAAUGUACCAAACCCUAUCAAACUCCGAAUACCUUAUAUGUAAUCACAGCAGUCAGGCGGCGAGUGAUAAAAUCCGUCGUCAAGAGGGAAACAACCCAGACUACCAGCUAAGGUCCCUAAAUCUUACUUAAGUGGAAAACGAUGUGAAGUUACUUAAACAACCAGGAGGUUGGCUUAGAAGCAGCCAUCCUUUAAAGAAAGCGUAAUAGCUCACUGGUCUAGUGAUUUUGUGCGGAAAAUAUAACGGGGCUAAAGUAAGUACCGAAGCUGUAGACUUAGUUUACUAAGUGGUAGGAGAGCGUUCUAUUUGCGUCGAAGGUAUACCGGUAAGGAGUGCUGGAGCGAAUAGAAGUGAGCAUGCAGGCAUGAGUAGCGAUAAUUAAUGUGAGAAUCAUUAACGCCGUAAACCCAAGGUUUCCUACGCGAUGCUCGUCAUCGUAGGGUUAGUCGGGUCCUAAGUCGAGUCCGAAAGGGGUAGACGAUGGCAAAUUGGUUAAUAUUCCAAUACCAACAUUAGUGUGCGAUGGAAGGACGCUUAGGGCUAAGGGGGCUAGCGGAUGGAAGUGCUAGUCUAAGGUCGUAGGAGGUUAUACAGGAAAAUCCGUAUAACAAUACUCCGAGAACUGAAAGGCUUUUUGAAGUCUUCGGAUGGAUAGAAGAACCCCUGAUGCCGUCGAGCCAAGAAAAGUUUCUAAGUUUAGCUAAUGUUGCCCGUACCGUAAACCGACACAGGUGGGUGGGAUGAGUAUUCUAAGGCGCGUGGAAGAACUCUCUUUAAGGAACUCUGCAAAAUAGCACCGUA
rnacentral:rRNA from 1 species